rnacentral:misc_RNA from 1 species
UUUGCAGGACGCCAUUUCUGUACCCAUACAAGACAGGGUUUGCAAUUUCGCGACCAUCAUGAGCUUCGAUGGAAGUAAAGGCCCGCCCCAAAUUGAAGGAAUGACUAGCUUAAAAGUCGACAACCUUACUUAUCGUACUACUGUGGGGGACUUGACGCACGUUUUUUCAAAAUAUGGCGAUCUUGGCGACGUUUACAUUCCGCGCGACCGCUACAAACAAGAAUCCAGAGGGUUUGCUUUCGUACGAUUCUACGAAAAGCGAGAUGCUGAAGAUGCAAUGGAUGCCUUGCACGGAACUAUCAUCGAUGGACGAGAAAUCCGCGUGCAGAUGGCAAAGUAUGGAAGACCAUCAGAUCCCUAUAAACCUCGAAGUAAUCGUCAUAGACAAUCAUCAUCCUACAGCGGUUCGAGGUAUCGAUCACGUUCUCGUUCUCCUCGACGCAGGGCUCGCCGAUCACGUUCCAGAUCUCCCCGGCGUCGUUCAAAGUCUCGAUCCCGCUCACCACGCAAAGCUCGCUACAGUGGGUCACAGUCACCAAGAAAACAGGAAAGCCGUUCUCGUUCCAGAAGUCCUCGUCGCAAACGAUCCCACUCUAGGUCCCGUUCAAAAUCUGGUUCAAGACCCAGACAGUCUCGUUCUAAGUCUCGUUCUCGUUCCAAAUCUCGUUCAAGAUCACCCCGGAACAAAACAUCGAGGUCUCCUUCUAGGUCUCCAAAACAGAGAAGGUCAACAUCCCCAGAUCGCACUACACAAGAUCAUGAUGACAACAUUGAUGGUUCUGGGGAACAACAACAAGAAAGUGCUGAUGCUGAAAGAAGAGAAAACAAUGCUUAUGAUUAAUCAACCCAGGCUUUCUUUAGACUUCUUCAACGAUUUAUAGUAAUCAGUUUUUUAAAGUAUUCUCUUCCAGGCUUUGUUGCUGUUGUGGAGAUGGGGAGUAGACUUUUGUUGCAGAGCAUGGAGGGAAUGGACUGGGAAUUCUUCUGUUUUAGGCGCAGUUUAUUUAUACUUGCUGUGUGGGUUGACUGGUCAUGCAGUGUUUUGCUGUUUUCUGCUGUUGCCGAAGGAGCCCAUGCUGUUGCAGACUCCUGUUGGCGUUGUUGCCGUCCAGUUUCCUGAUUGGUGGCUGUUCGUCAAUCUUACUGUUCCUUUAAACCCCUGAAAGCUCAAUUGAUUAUCACAACUUCCAAAAUUUCCUCCAAAUCUAAGUCAAAUACGCAGCUUGAAAAAGUGCAGGAAAAUAUAUUUCGUUAAGCAAAAUAUCCCAACCACCUCGGGCGAAAAUUAAGGGACACUGCAAGAGGCUCUGAUAGGGAACUCCCCUCUUAGAUUUCAUUUGGCGUAAAAACUAAUUAGUGCCCACUUUUUUUCUAUCCAAAAGUGACAAGGACAAUCUUUAAGGGGCUCGUUUUAACAAAACGCUUCCAAACUAUUUGGCAAAUACGAGAAAGAUUCUCACUGGAAGUAACAUGCACACACAAGUUAGCGGUAACCAUGGUUAGCAUGAGGAUCAUGUGUUAUCUGAACUAUCUACCUUCCAAGUAGCAUGGUGUUCCGAAUUUUGGCUCAAUUUGGUCAAUGUAUUCUUUCUUCAGUCUUCCAUAUUGGAAAAUUUGAUCGUCUAAACAUUCCAAGGGGACCUCGUACGAUUAGCAAAUUGUAGAAAGUUCAUCGCAUUGCAGGUGGGAUCGAAGGUGGUUCACAGAGAUGGAAGGCCGACGUUUCGAGCGUUAGCCCUUCGUCAAAGCGAUUGGCUCUGACGAAGGGCUGACACUCGAAACGUAAGCCUUUAAAAACUUUACGGUGACCAAUUUAUGUUAUCAACUCAGCUGGUAACAUCAAAGUACCCCGUUAUAUUCUCCCACCGACGCAGUGUCGCAGUUUCUUUACGAACUUACCUCUUCUACUCGAUGGUUCGUUGACUUGCUUACAACUUACAUUAUCGCAGGGAAGUCUGGCUUAUACUUAGAGUGUAUUGUUGUCUUUGAACUGAUCGAUGCCACUGACAUUCUCAGUAGUAAUACGAAGAACAGUUUGAAGAUGUUAGGAGAUCCGUCUAGGGGUAGUUAGAAGUGGUCGAGAACGCUCAAGCGUGACGAUGGCGAUGUAGUGUGGGGCGGAGGUAAGAAUUUUCAGUGAGGUGCAGUGUAGAAGGGUAGGAAGCAGGCUCUCGCACUGUGUCUUUGCUGUCACCUCUUCUUUACAGAUUGGAGUUGCGUAAACCUGUAGGACCUCGUUUAGCUACACUUGGAGUAGAUGUCAAGUUACAUUUUCUAAAUUGGCUCUCGUCAGAGGAAGGGCCAAAGAGAAGUGGUACCGGUCGACGUUGAGUCUUUGAAGCAGCUGAAGGAUUAGCGAUGUGGCGGCCAUGUAGCUUUCUUGAGCAGCUAAGCGUGGUAAGUCUCCCUGUGUGGACGAAGAAUGCCCGACUAGCCGAAGGAGUGUCGGCGAAGGAGACGAGGCACCAUGAAAAUUGGUCUCCGGUUCACUGAUCACUGAUGAACAUCGGUAGUAAAUGCGACGUAGAGAACGAGGCAAAUAAAAGGAUUUUUUUUUUAUUUA